rnacentral:rRNA from 1 species
AGCCACCUUCGGGUGGUGGAAAGUGGCAGACGGGUGAGUAACGCGUGGGAACGUGCCUUUCGGUUCGGGAUAACCCAGGGAAACUUGGGCUAAUACCGGAUACGCCCUUCGGGGGAAAGAUUCAUUGCCGAAAGAUCGGCCCGCGUCGGAUUAGCUAGUUGGUGGGGUAAAAGCCUACCAAGGCGACGAUCCGUAGCUGGUCUGAGAGGAUGACCAGCCACACUGGGACUGAGACACGGCCCAGACUCCUACGGGAGGCAGCAGUGGGGAAUUGUUCGCAAUGGGCGCAAGCCUGACGACGCAACGCCGCGUGGAGGAUGAAGGUCUUCGGA